CCUACGGGAGGCAGCAGUGAGGAAUAUUGGACAAUGGGCGGAAGCCUGAACCAGCCAAGCAGCGUGCAGGAGGACGGUCCUACGGGUUGUAAACCUCUUUUAUACGGGAAUAAAGUUCCUUACGUGUAUGAGUUUGCAUGUACCGUAUGAAUAAGGACCGGCUAAUUCCGUGCCAGCAGCCGCGGUAAUACGGAAGGUCCGGGCGUUAUCCGGAUUUAUUGGGUUUAAAGGGAGCGUAGGCCGGUUUUUAAGCGUGCCGGUAAAUCUCGUGGCUCAACCCUGGGACUGCAGUGCUUACUGGCGGGCUAGAGUGCGAGGGAGGCAGGCGGAAUUCGUGGUGUAGCGGUGAAAUGCUUAGAUAUGACGAAGAACCCCGAUUGCGAAGGCAGCUUGCUGGAGCGAAACUGACGCUGAGGCUCGAAAGCGUGGGUAUCGAACAGGAUUAGAUACCCGGGUAGUC
rnacentral:rRNA from 1 species